rnacentral:rRNA from 1 species
ACGUACGGCUUGCCGUACAGUAAUCGUCAGACUAGUACUCGGGUGGGUGACCACCGGGGAAUCCCUGAUGUUGUACGUU